rnacentral:lncRNA from 1 species
AUUUAAUACUGUCUGAUUGGGUGUAGGAAAAUGCCUGCCUAAAACAACUAUUUUCCAUUUGGCAUAAGGUUGGGCUGUUCACUCCGACAAUUAUUUGCCAUUGGAUUAACUCUCUAGUAAAACAGAUCAUGUCUCCUGAGUGUAAAGCAAACGCCAUGAUAAUAGCACUGGUUUCCUGUUUACUGUGGCAGAAAGGCGUGGGCCAAAUGCAUCUAGAAAGUCAUCAAUUGUUUGCAAGUUAAAGGGAAGAAAGUUGCAAAAAGAGAGAGAGCUAGGGAAGUGGGAGGCUGAGGACCCAGCCACACAGCCAGGGCUUUUUGAAUCUGGGUGAUGGUGUACCUGGACUCCCCUUGCUCUAUUCUCUCUGCUUUUAUGUGUUUGAAAACACCCAUAUUUUUUCUUUAAAAAAAAAAAAAAAAUUAAGCCUAAGAGCAUUGCAACUGAUACUGCAAGAUCCUGGCUAUGAAAAGUGAUUUGAACAGGAUGGUAAAGCAGGACCCAGGGGUUACCAACUAUUUGCUGCCGCCAUGUGACUCAUCAGCUCCAGGAGGCUCCCAGCAGCUUUCUUGAGCUUACACACUGGCCUUGUCUCAGUCCUGGCUGAAGGCACCCGAGGACCCAGUGGACUUUGAAUGCUUCUAGAAGCAUCUCAAACAAUGAGCUGUUUGUUCUCAUCUGUGGCUAGGCCUUGGAGAGCUGGUCUCAACUCCCCUCAAUGCUUGCAACAAGCAACUCCGACUCUCCAUGGAGGUUGGGAGGGGGAAGUGGGGCACUAGCCCUGCCUGGAGGGGGUAGGGAGAGCGUGGUGUUGGCCCCCGGGGCUGGUGGCUGUGGGAUGGGAAGAAGAAGAAGAAGAAAGGAGCAGAAACCCAAGGAAGGGAGGGAUAACUUUCCUGUCAACUCAAGACCUCUCCACCUGCAGGCCUGCCGAAGCUUCAGAAUCCAGAGGAGUGGCCCACAGAGAAGGAGUGUGGAGCAGCAGAGCCGGAAACAACAGAGGCUUCAAGGGCUGGAGGUUGACCUUGAUAAGCCAAUCUCUUCUGAUUAA